GGGGGAAUUUUCCGCAAUGGGCGAAAGCCUGACGGAGCAAUACCGCGUGAGGGAUGACGGCCUAUGGGUUGUAAACCUCUUUUUUCAGGGAGGAAUCAAUGACGUGUACCUGAAGAAUAAGCAUCGGCUAACUCCGUGCCAGCAGCCGCGGUAAGACGGAGGAUGCAAGUGUUAUCCGGAAUCACUGGGCGUAAAGCGUCUGUAGGUGGUCAAAUAAGUCAACUGUUAAAUCUUGAGGCUCAACCUCAAAAUCGCAGUCGAAACUAUUAGACUAGAGUAUAGUAGGGGUAAAGGGAAUUUCCAGUGGAGCGGUGAAAUGCGUAGAGAUUGGAAGGAACACCGAUGGCGAAGGCACUUUACUGGGCUAUUACUAACACUCAGAGACGAAAGCUAGGGUAGCAAAAGGGAUUAGAUACCCCU
rnacentral:rRNA from 1 species